UGGGGAAUAUUGCACAAUGGGCGAAAGCCUGAUGCAGCAACGCCGCGUGAGUGAUGAAGGCCUUCGGGUUGUAAAGCUCUGUCUUUUGGGACGAUAAUGACGGUACCAAAGGAGGAAGCCACGGCUAAUUACGUGCCAGCAGCCGCGGUAAUACGUAGGUGGCAAGCGUUGUCCGGAUUUACUGGGCGUAAAGGAUGCGUAGGCGGAUUUUUAAGUGAGAUGUGAAAACCCUAAGCUUAACUUGGGGACUGCAUUUCAUACUGGAAAUCUAGAGUGCGGGAGAGGAGAAUGGAAUUCCUAGUGUAGCGGUGAAAUGCGUAGAGAUUAGGAAGAACACCAGUGGCGAAGGCGAUUCUCUGGACCGUAACUGACGCUGAGGCAUGAAAGCGUGGGUAGCAAACAGGAUUAGAUACCCUGGUAGUCCACGCCGUAAACGAUGAGUACUAGGUGUAGGAGGUAUCGACCCCUUCUGUGCCGCAGUUAACACAAUAAGUACUCCGCCUGGGAAGUACGAUCGCAAGAUUUAAAACUCAAAGGAAUUGACGGGGGUCAUA
rnacentral:rRNA from 1 species